AGUGAACGCUGGCGGUAGGCCUAACACAUGCAAGUCGAACGGCAGCACAGUAAGAGCUUGCUCUUACGGGUGGCGAGUGGCGGACGGGUGAGGAAUACAUCGGAAUCUACUUUUUCGUGGGGGAUAACGUAGGGAAACUUACGCUAAUACCGCAUACGACCUACGGGUGACAGCAGGGGAUCUUCGGACCUUGCGCGAUUGAUUGAGCCGAUGUCGGAUUAGCUAGUUGGCGGGGUAAAGGCCCACCAAGGCGACGAUCCGUAGCUGGUCUGAGAGGAUGAUCAGCCACACUGGAACUGAGACACGGUCCAGACUCCUACGGGAGGCAGCAGUGGGGAAUAUUGGACAAUGGGCGCAAGCCUGAUCCAGCCAUACCGCGUGGGUGAAGAAGGCCUUCGGGUUGUAAAGCCCUUUUGUUGGGAAAGAAAAGCAGCAGGUUAAUACCCCGCUGUUCUGACGGUACCCAAAGAAUAAGCACCGGCUAACUUCGUG
rnacentral:rRNA from 1 species